rnacentral:rRNA from 1 species
GAUGAACGCUGGCGGCGUGCCUAAUACAUGCAAGUCGAGCGAACAGACGAGGAGCUUGCUCCUCUGACGUUAGCGGCGGACGGGUGAGUAACACGUGGAUAACCUACCUAUAAUACUGGGAUAACUUCGGGAAACCGGAGCUACUACCGGAUAAUAUAUUGAACCGCAUGGUGCAAUAGUGAAAGACGGUUUUGCUGUCACUUAGAGAUGGAUCCGCGCCGCAUUAGCUAGUUGGUAAGGUAACGGCUUACCAAGGCAACGAUGCGUAGCCGACCUGAGAGGGUGAUCGGCCACACUGGAACUGAGACACGGUCCAGACUCCUACGGGAGGCAGCAGUAGGGAAUCUUCCGCAAUGGGCGAAAGCCUGACGGAGCAACGCCGCGUGAGUGAUGAAGGUCUUCGGAUCGUAAAACUCUGUUAUUAGGGAAGAACAAAUGUGUAAGUAAAUAUGCACGUCUUGACGGUACCUAAUCAGAAAGCCACGGCUAACUACGUG